CUAGAUUUGUUGUCGUAUACACAAGUUGUUACAUAUCUGUUACACAAGAUAAUACAUUCAUAUAAUAGUUCACAGACAACUUUCGGAGGUAUGAUUGUGCUCCAAGAUAUUAUUGAUGUGCUUGCCAGAUUUGAAAACCACAAUCGUGAUAGCAGAGGAAAAUUAUUUGAUAAAAAUGAUAAUGAUCGAGCGAUGAUAUUUAUUCUGAAAACAAUCGUGAUAUUUGCAGAGUCAUUUCGAUUCAGAUCCAUAUACCUUGUUGUGAGAUUAAGGAUUCGGGAUGACGAGAAUUCAUCUGAGAUUGAUUGUAACUACUGGCUCCUGCUUCAUGACUGUGGUCAUUAUUUACGGCACUUGAUGGCACUAUGCCAAGAAGGGUCGCUGUCAGGUUUGAAUACUGUCGCUAUAGCAUAUUUCUAGGAAAUCAAAGUUAGAAGACCUGGAUCAGAUAAACUGAAAGUCCUUGGCACACUAGUCAAUCCGAUAGGAUCUAAAGGCAGUUGUUGCUUGUAAGAUCAUAUAACAUAUUGAUACUUAGUAAUGAGGAGCUGACUAAGCUGGAGAAGCGGCCGGACGUAAUCCAGUACCAGUUCUAGAAACAGGAUUUCAGGAUGUAGUUUUGCCGAAUGAACCCGAUGAUCCUGAGGUUCUGUGAAUAGUUGUUAAUGCUGUGUUCUGAUUUCAGGAUGUACUUUUGCCGGAUUAACCUGGUGAUCUUGAGACUGAAAAUAGUUGCUGCUGCUGUGUUCUGUAUGCGUUGACUUAUCUUAACCUUUUGAUGUAACCAUUAGUUGAGUAUUGCUUAAUGGCAAGUAAUGCGUACAAAUUUGGCCGUGACAAUUACUGUCAUGUGAUCAUGUUUCUGUUGGUUUUAACGACUAAAUCUUAAUAUGAAGUAGUUCUCUCAUAUCAGUUCUGCUACUUAACUUGAUUUGG
rnacentral:misc_RNA from 1 species